GCCGGAGUGGUGAAAUUGGUAGACGCACGGGACUCAAAAUCCCGCGGGGGCGACCCCAUGAGAGUUCGAUUCUCUCCUCCGGCACCA
rnacentral:tRNA from 1 species